UACAGAGGGUGCGAGCGUUAAUCGGAAUUACUGGGCGUAAAGCGUGCGUAGACGGUAGCGUAAGUCAGAUGUGAAAGCCCCGGGCUCAACCUGGGAAUGGCAUUUGAGACUGCUCUGCUCGGGUGCGGAAGAGGGAAGCGGAAUUUCCGGUGUAGCGGUGAAAUGCGUAGAUAUCGGAAGGAACAUCAGUGGCGAAAGCGGCUUCCUGGACCAGAACUGACGAUCAGGCUCGAAAGCGUGGGGAGCAAACAGG
rnacentral:rRNA from 1 species